rnacentral:tRNA from 1 species
GGGCGGUUAGCUCAGCCCGGUAGAGCAUCUCGUUUACACCGAGUCGGUCGGGGGUUCGAAUCCCUCACCGCCCACCA